AUUACACUUUGUUACAGUUUUCACUGGGGAAAAUUACCAUAAAGAAAACUGCUCAUCACCCCACAAUGCCCUUUUAAGUUUCCAUAGUUCAGGGAUUUCUGAGGCUUCUAUUCCAUUCCCUAAAAAGGGGUAGAAAUUAGGACUGGUGGGACUGUGAGCUUCCCUACUGCCAUCAUUCGUACACCUCCCUGUACAGCGAUCCCUAGUGGGAGAAGGACAGUCACUCCUAUGGUUGUAAUUUACUUAAUACACGUCCUUCCAGGUCAGGAACUGGAGGUUAGCUUCUUCAUUAACUGUGUUCCUACAAUAUUCCCUGCAGUGACUCCUGCUGGAAGUGAAUAGAGCCAACACACAUGCUGUUAAUUCUAUGAUGACUGAUUGUACCACUGUCUGAGUUGUGGUAUGAAUACAGAGAAAUUGUUGUUGAUUCUAGCAGAUGUGAGCAUACCUCUUACCACAGUUCCUUCAUUCCUUAUGUUGACCCCCUGAUGGGAGAGGUGGAGCUGGAAUAGCCGUGAGCUCCCUCACAGCUAGUUCUCCAUUCUAUUCCCUAUAAGGCACGAGCUGCAAAAUAUGCAUUUGGAUUCGAUUGCCGCACCAUGAGAAUUGGAGAGUGUUUGAAUAUGGGGUUCAGGCUUAGCCCAUAACAGAGAGAAGCCCUAAUUGUGGAAUUCAGAUCCAGGUUCAGCUCUACCUCAGUGCUUCCCAAUCCUCCAAAGUUUACGUGUGUUCAGAUUUUCAUGGUUUAGUUCUGAUUCCAUUUCUGUCUGAAAUGGGUGUUUUUGGUAACAGAUGUAAAGUUAAAGAUGUUAGAAGGCAGGUUUAAAAAAAUAUGACUGAUUUUACUAUUUUUUUAAACAUCUCAUUAUUUUUAAUCUCGUGAUAUUUUUAGAUCUAAUUCCUACUUUUUAAAUAUUUGGGACUGGCAGUAGUGGAAAACACACCAGAUUGAAAUGAUCAGCAUUCAGCCUGAUGCCAUGAAAACUAGUCUGAGGAGUGGAAUCAGUGAUGAACAAGGAACCAGCCCAGAGGGUGGUUUCCAGUGGUCCAAAGAACACAUGAAGUGUGCCUCAAAGGGAACUACAAGGAUCUUGUUUCAUUGAGAGCAGCAUGUGACUUCAGCAGCUCUCUGUUUUUAAUGCGUAAUGUA
ensembl:lncRNA